AUUGAACGCUGGCGGCAGGCUUAACACAUGCCAGUCGAACUAGUGGCGGACGGGUGAGUCAUGUCUGUGAAACUGCCUGAUGGAGGGGGAUAACUACUGGAAAUGGUAGUUAAUAUCGCAUACCAUCGGAUGUGCCUAGAUGGGAUUAGCUAGUAGGUGGGGUAAAGGCUCAUCUAGGCGACGAUCCCUAGCUGGUCUGAGAGGAUGACCAGCCACACUGGCACUGAGACACGGUCCAGACUCCUACGGUAGGCAGCAGUGGGGAAUAUUGCACAAUGGGCGCAAGCCUGAUGCAGCCAUGCCGCGUGUAUGAAGAAGGCCUUCGGGUUGUAAAGUACUUUCAGCGGGGGGGCGUUACCCGCAGAAGAAGAACCGGCUAACUCCGUGCCAGCAGCCGCGGUAAUUC
rnacentral:rRNA from 1 species